AACGGCCAUACCAUGCUGAAUAUACCGGUUCUUGUUAGAUCACCGAAGUCAAGCAUCUUCGGGCGGCGCGGUCAGUACUUGGGUGGGUGACCACCUGGGAACACCGCGUG